rnacentral:rRNA from 1 species
GAUGAACGCUAGCGGCAGGCUUAAUACAUGCAAGUCGAGGGGCAGCAGCUUUAUAGCAAUAUAGAGGCUGGCGACCGGCAAACGGGUGCGGAACACGUACACAACCUUCCUUUAAGAGGGGGAUAGCCCAUAGAAAUGUGGAUUAAUACCCCGUAACAUAUCGGUGUGGCAUCACACUGUUAUUAUAGUUUCGACGCUUGAAGAUGGGUGUGCGGCUGAUUAGGUAGUUGGCGGGGUAAAGGCCCACCAAGCCUUCGAUCAGUAGCUGAUGUGAGAGCAUGAUCAGCCACACGGGCACUGAGACACGGGCCCGACUCCUACGGGAGGCAGCAGUAAGGAAUAUUGGUCAAUGGACGCAAGUCUGAACCAGCCAUGCCGCGUGAAGGAUGAAGGUCCUCUGGAUUGUAAACUUCUUUUAUAGGGGGCGAAAAAAGGGAAUUCUUUCUCACUUGACAGUACCCUAUGAAUAAGCACCGGCUAACUCCGUGCCAGCCGCCGCCGUAA